rnacentral:rRNA from 1 species
UCUGGUUGAUCCUGCCAGUAGUCAUAUGCUUGUCUCAAAGAUUAAGCCAUGCAUGUCUAAGUACAAACCUUAAUACGGUGAAACCGCGAAUGGCUCAUUAAAUCAGCUAUGGUUCCUUAGAUCGUCUCAUCCUACUCGGAUAACUGUGGAAAAUCUAGAGCUAAUACGUGCUUACAAGCCCUGACCUCACGGGAGGGGCGCAUUUAUUAGAUCAAAACCAAUCGGGGCUUGCCCCGUCUGCUUGGUGACUCUGGAUAACUUUUGUGCUGAUCGCAUGGCCUCUGCGCUGGCGACGUAUCUUUCAAGUGUCUGCCCUAUCAACUUACGAUGGUAGGUGAUAUGCCUACCAUGGUUAUAACGGGUAACGGGGAAUCAGGGUUCGAUUCCGGAGAGGGAGCCUGAGAAACGGCUACCACAUCUAAGGAAGGCAGCAGGCGCGCAAAUUACCCACUCCCGGCACGGGGAGGUAGUGACGAAAAAUAACGAUACGGGACUCUUUUGAGGCCCCGUAAUUGGAAUGAGUACACUUUAAAUCCGUUAACAAGUAUCUAUUGGAGGGCAAGUCUGGUGCCAGCAGCCGCGGUAAUUCCAGCUCCAAUAGCGUAUAUUAAUGUUUGCUGCAGUUAAAAAGCUCGUAGUUGGAUCUGAGGACUCGAAUUGGUGGUGCACCAUACGGUGUUACUGCCGAUUCGGCCUACCUAGUCGGUGCUCGCUCUUGGUGUUCUUAAUUGAAUGCCCUGAGUGCCCGGCAAGUUUACUUUGAAAAAAUUAGAGUGCUCAAAGCAGGCCAUUAGCCGGAAUACUUCAGCAUGGAAUAAUGGAAUAGGACUUCGGUUCUAUUUUGUUGGUUUUCGGAACCCGAGGUAAUGAUUAAGAGAGACAGACGGGGGCAUUCGUACUGCGGUGUUAGAGGUGAAAUUCUUGGAUCGCCGCAAGACGAACAACUGCGAAAGCAUUUGCCAAGAAUGUUUUAAUCAAGAACGAAAGUCAGAGGUUCGAAGACGAUCAGAUACCGUCCUAGUUCUGACCAUAAACGAUGCCAACUGGCGAUCCGAGAUCGUUUGCUUAUUGACCUCUC